GAGUUUGAUCGUGGCUCAGAUUGAACGCUGGCGGCAGGCCUAACACAUGCAAGUCGAGCGGUAGAGAGAAGCUUGCUUCUCUUGAGAGCGGCGGACGGGUGAGUAAUGCCUAGGAAUCUGCCUGGUAGUGGGGGAUAACGCUCGGAAACGGACGCUAAUACCGCAUACGUCCUACGGGAGAAAGCAGGGGACCUUCGGGCCUUGCGCUAUCAGAUGAGCCUAGGUCGGAUUAGCUAGUUGGUGAGGUAAUGGCUCACCAAGGCGACGAUCCGUAACUGGUCUGAGAGGAUGAUCAGUCACACUGGAACUGAGACACGGUCCAGACUCCUACGGGAGGCAGCAGUGGGGAAUAUUGGACAAUGGGCGAAAGCCUGAUCCAGCCAUGCCGCGUGUGUGAAGAAGGUCUUCGGAUUGUAAAGCACUUUAAGUUGGGAGAAGGGCAGUAAAUUAAUACUUUGCUGUUUUGACGUUACCGACAGAAUAAGCACCGGCUAACUCUGUGCCAGCA
rnacentral:rRNA from 1 species